AUGGUUUCCAAUACUCUUUCUAACAGAUGUCAGCUUAAUAGCAUUCUGUUUUUAUCUCCUUUUACCCACAAUAAUGGGUUAAGAGGAUCCUAAGGUUGGUGUUUUGUUAGUCUGUUUGAACUGUUAAUAGUUCUUGGAGUUCAGGAACUCCUACAUUUCAUAACAUUCCUUUGUUUCCGCAUCUAAUAUAAUAGUCAGUGAACCUCAAUUUGACUAAGGGAAUGAAAUUAAGAAAAACCAUUUCACUAAUUAUUGUCGCAUAGGUGCUGCUCCUGUUGAGAUUUUUAUUAUUGGGGAUGUGACCUCCAUCAUCUCAUUAUAUCUUAUGCGGUUUCUUUCUAAUCUAUUACAUUUAUUGUAUCACAUGCACAUGCACAUACACAAACUCAAACUUGCGCACAUGGGCGCGCACACACUCACACACUCAUACAUAUCAGUUUUAUUAGCGUUAGCAUUCAAUAAUAAUAUCUCCCUUUACUCACAAUAAUGGGUUAAGAGGAUCCUUAAGAAUGCUUAUAUUACAGGUUGGAGUUUUGUUAGUCUGUUUGAACUGUUAAUAGUUCUUGGAGUUCGGGAACUCCUACAUUUCAUACCGUACCUGUGUUUCCGCAUCUAAUAUACUAGUCAGUGAGCCUCGGUUUGACUAAGGGAAUGAAAUUAAGAAAAAGCAUUUCACUAAUUAUUGUCACAUAGGUACCACUCCAUUUGAGAUUUUUAUUGUUGGGGAUGUGACCUCCAUCAUCUCAUUAUAUUUUAUACGAUUUCUUUCUACAUUUAUUGUAUCACCCGCAAAUGCACAUACGCAAACUCAAACUUGCGUGCAUGCACGCACACACACACACUCAUACAUAUCAAUUUUAUUAGCUUUAGCAUUCAAUAAUAUAUCUCCUUUACUCACAAUAAUGGGUUAAGAGGAUCCUUAAGAAUGCUUACAUUACAGGUUGGAGUUUUGUUAGUCUGUUACUGUUAAUAGUUCUUGGAGUUCGGGAACUCCUACAUUUCAUAACAUUUAUGUGUUAUCCAAACCUAAACUGCCAGUCAUUGAACAUCACUGUGAUUGAGGGAAAUAAAUGAAGUACAAACAUUUACGACUAAUUAAGUUUCAAACAUGAUUGAGCAUUACAUAAAUGUUACUCCUGUUGGAAUGAUAAGUGUCAAAUUUCUUAGUAUCCAACAUAUCAUUAGAUCUUAUGCAUUAUCUCUAUGAACUAUCGAAUUGCUUCCUGAAAUUGCACACUUGUAUAUAUUCAUGGGAAUCUAUUAGCAUUAAUCUAUAUUAACAAAAGUGUUACUCCGUAGACUGCAACUCUUUUUUACUCGUGAAUUUUUAGUACAAAUAAUUACGUAUGUACAUCUGCAAUUAAUUAAGUACAGUUUGUACAUCCACGCAACAGAGAUGAUCUCUUUCUAUAGAAAACAAUUUCACAUGUCUACUGUUUCCAGAUGGUAACAUUAGUCGCUAUAGCAUUCAGAUUUUAUCUCCCUUUACUCAUAAUAACAAUGGGUUAAGAGGACCCUCUGGAAUGCUUAAAUUGCAGUUUGGAGUUUUGUUAGUCUGUUUGAACUGUUAAUAGUUCUUGGAGUUCGGGAACUCCUACAUUUCAUAACAUUCUUUUGUUUUCCAAAGCUAAUAUACUAGUCAUCAUCAGCAUGAAAUGUUACUUGGCAGCUUCAAAGCUUAAGCUGUAGUGGCCAAUGUUUUACAUGCUAAUUAUAAGUUUAAAUAUCCGAGUUCAGUAUCCAUGAUCCACCUUUUUAAGUUGACUUAUCACUUUUUGCAAAAUCCAAGCCCACUGUUGUGAGAGAACCCGUUAAGCUGUUAACAUCUAUUUAUUUUGGGAUAUAGGUUAGUCUUGCAAAAGGAAAAUACAUUUGUCAAUUGCGUGCCCACCAUCUUGUCAAAUUUAUUAGCAUUCUUUUACAUUUUCCCUACCUACGAUACAAUAAUGGGUUAAGAGGAUCCUCAAGAAUGCUUACAUUAUAUGUUUGGAGUUUUGUUAGUCUGUUUGAACUGUUAGUAGUUCUUGGAGUUCGGGAACUCCUACAUUUCAUAGCAUUCCUGUAUUAUCCAAUCCUAAUAUACUUUUUAUUCUGGGUCAAAAACCAAUCCUAAUAUAGUCAUUAAUUGUCAGCGUGCUUGAGGGAAUCAAUUAAUUAAAAGGGAAUCAAUUAAUUAAACACGGAUUACUAAUUGAAGUUAAUUUCAAUCCUGAGUUAAUCAAUUAGUACUGUUCUUUUCAGAACCAUAGUCCUUAUGACAUUAACCUACACUGUUGGGCUUGACCACAUAUAUUGAUACACUGUUUCCUUGUUCUGUGUUGCUUGGUUUAUGCCAUAAUUAGGGCUUGUACAGAUCUGUUUUUGCACAACCAUUAUGCUUUAGUUAUUACCUAGGUAUUUGGGUUUGUCGACUUCUAUUGAUCAUCCCUUUACCUUCUUUUUUUGUUAGGACAUGCUAUGGCGUUUGUAGAUUUGUCAUGGAAAGUGGUGCAAAGGGAUGCAAGGUGCGAAUGAAAGCUGUUCUUUCCACUUGACCUUAUUAGGCUGCACCAACAUAGUACAAUGAAUCUUUCUACUCUACAACCUGUGGGUCAUUGUUAGUGGCAAAAUCAGGGCUCAGCGUGCCAAGUCUAUGAAAUUCAAGGAUGGAUACAUGAUAUCCUCUGGCCAGCCUGUAAAGGAAUAUAUCGAUGCUGCUGUGCCGCAUGUGCUUCUUAGACAGGUUAGCUCCUCCACCAUUCUGGCUCUUAUGUGCUUUUGUUAUCUUUACUUAUUUUUCGUAUAUCCAUUUUUCAAGGUGUUCUUGGGAUUAAGGUCAAAAUCACUCUCGAUUGGGAUCCCAAGGGUAAGCAAGGCUCCAAAACACCCCUACCUGAUCUGGUCACCAUCCACCAACCCAAAGAGGACGACAUCAGAUCAGGCCCCCCGUUGUGGCAACCGAAAGUCUGAAAUACCAGUUGGCCUUGUCGCUGCUUAGAGUUGUUUUAACGCAUGCUCAUACCAUUUUUUUUAGUCAAUAUACUAAUUUCUCAUAUUCCGCAUAAUCUCAUUUCUAGUUGGAUGCCUGUUAGUACCCGAUUGGAAUAUGAGAAUGAGAUUAUGUCUUUAGAAUUGUAAUUUUCUUAGCCAGCAAAUAGAAAAAGCAACUCAUGCUCUGUAUGUUACCCGCGUUUGUGUCCUCCCGACUUUUGCUGUUGGAAUCUUAACUUCGUAUGGGAAAUAGUAUUGGGCUGCCUCCCUUUGUAUUUACUCUUAUGGUUAAAAUUCAAAUUCAAAGAUAAUUCUUCUAUUUCUUUUUUAUUAAUGGGGUUGGGAGUCGUGAACUUAAGAACCUCAUCUUUUAAGAGGAAGACCAGAGGAAGAUCAGGGUGGGUUAGGUUUCACAAUGGGUUAGCAAUAAUAUGACUUAAAUUCGUCUUUAGCGAGAAUCGAACAUAAGAUUUCUUAUUUACAAGUGAAGGCGAUAAUCAAAUAUAAGAUCUUUCAUUUACAAGUGAAGAAAAAUAUUACUAUACUGUAGUACCAAGUGUCCUUUUGAAUAGGAAUAUUGUUUGGGCUUAAUUGGGUUAAUAGUUCUUGUGGUGGUAGGGUGGUUGGAAAAUAAUUCAUGUGGUAAAAAAAAACUAGGAUUUAAGCCUCUGUGGUGAAGGAUGUUAGGAUUUAGGCUCAUAAUUGAAAAUUUCGUCAACUCUCAAUUAAUUAUUAACACAUGAGGCUCACAUGUAUAACUAAAAGGGUAAAGUUCACCUCAUAUUUAAGCCUCACAUGCUAACAAUUAACGGAAAGUUUCGAUUUAAUCUAAUAUGUGUGGCUCAUAUGCUAAUAAUUAACUGAGAGUUGACGGUUUUGGGUAUAGUCAUAUUCUAACCAAGUAACGGUUAAUCUAAACUAGGCCUGGGCACGGUUUGGUACCGAGGUGGUACCAAAACCGAACCUAUAGCAAAAUUUCGGUACGGUAUGAAUGGUUGUACCAACUUAGUACCGAACCUAUUCGGUCCAAGUAUAGGUUCGGUUCUGGGCCUUUAAGGAACAAUGCCUGUUUUUCAAUUUUUGUAAACAAAAAAAAUAAAUAAAUAAAACGUCCAAAUCAGUUUUUGGCCCAAAAUUAACAAAGUUCACACAAAUUAAUUUUUGGCCCAGAUUUCAAUGCACGCAUACAUUUUUGUCUUCUCAAGUUAAGACCCUGGUAAGCCUCACUCAAAGAUCGAGAAAUGAAUGUUGUAAAAGAUGGAAAUGAUAAACUGGUAACAGUUCCACAUGUAAGACUUAGGGCUAAAUGUGUCUAUUACCCGGAACAUACAAAUGAUGGUAACUUUGCGGCCGAUUCAAGCAUUAAUGAUACAUUUGGAAUGAGAAAACAUCUUAGCCGACAAUGUAAAUUUUAUCAGGCCAACUUGAGGAAAAAUAAAAAACUUCUUUACGAGGAUAAGAAAUGGGGUAUAACUUCUUUGGUUAGAAUAUGAGUAUGACUCAAUUGGUAAACAUAGAUAAAGACGUUAUUACAAGCAAUAUGGUUUGAAGCCAAAACCUAAAUGAAACCUAACCAUUUGAUUUGGUGCGGUUUCAAACGUUUUUGGUUCGGUUUUCAACCCUUUUACAUACAAAAUGAAAAAAAUUAUCUUUGUCCUCCUCUCUCUCUCCCCUUUCUCACAUAAAUAUUAGAAAAGGACUAACCAAAUAAGAUAGAAUUUGAGUAAAUAACAAUGAAACAAAUUGAUACACUUCUACCAUUUUAUACCAAAAUAUUAUCAACCAAAAUAAACCUUUUUUUUUUACAAAUUAAGGUACCCUAGUCAAUAUCUUUUACAAUUUCACAUUCACCCCCCCCCCCCCCACAAAAAAAAAAAACCAAAAUUGAAGCCUUCAGUACCUUACCUAGAAUCCGCCACUGGCGACUAAGAAAAGUAAUAAUCGCCCAAACAAAGCAACUGAGGACAAGAACAUACAUAUUUGAAUAUGAUUUACAUGCAUACACAGGAACCAAUAUUAUGCAAAUGUUUUGUCCCCAAUGCUAAAUGAGACCGAAUUGUCCUUGACCCAAACCCCAACCUUAGCCACACACAUAACUCAACGAAUGCAUCUCUAGAUUCACCUCGACCUCACUUGUUACCGCGCAAGUUCCAUCAUUGUAGUCCCAAGAAAAAUAAAACCGACCACCUCAUUUUCGACUAUGUAAUCUGUUUGUACCAUACUUGACCAAUCCCGAAACUACUAAGCACCGGUCAACGUUAUACCGUCAAGGGCCCAGAAGAGUUUCCCUCCAACCAGGAGGUCAAUCACAGCGCGACACGUGUCGACAUCAGAAGCCAAUCAUAGCGCCACACGUGUCAACAUCAGAAGUCAAUCACAACACGACACGUGUCAAUGUCAGAAUGAAACUAGAAACUCUCUUCUAUAAAUAGAGAUCAUUCUCUCACAAUAUUUCCUAAUGUCAUUUGUACUAAAUCAUUCACUAGUACUCACUAAAUGAGAGCUUGAACCUAUGUACUUGUGUAAACCCUUCACAAUUAAUGAGAACUCAUCUACUCCGUGGACGUAGCCAAUCUGGAUAAACUACGUACAUCUUAUGUUUGCUUCCCUGUCCCUAUCCAUUUACAUACUUAUUCACACUAGUGACUGGAGCAAUCUAGCGAAGGUCACAAACUUAACACUUUCUGUUGUACCAAAGUCCUCGUUGAUUUUGUGCAUCAACAUAAUCAAUCGAGAAACUAAUCACAAUCGAAAGAACUAUAUAUUACACUUUCUCUUUAUUUAAAUUUAAAUUUACAUAAAUAUGCAAAUUAAUGAGAAAUAAUACAUAUACGAGAUAAAACUUUCAAUCUGAAAAUUAUUUAAGGUUGUGAUAGAGGGAGGGGGGCAAGCAAAAUGGGAGAGGGGAGAAUGUCCCAGAGUUGGGGGGUAGAGUAAUUUUUCAUCUAAUUUGUACUUUUAUCAUUUUCAAAUUUGUAAAUCAAAUAGAUAUUGUUAUAAAUAAAUUGGAUUGAAUGUCAUUAAUUGACUAGUGAAAAUAAACACGAUAACUAAACGGGCAAUUAAAAACAUAGAGACUAAUUGACGCAAUGAGUAGAACAUCGAGAUCAGUUUGACAUUUAAGCCAAAUAAAAAAAAAAAUUUCUAUCCAAAAAGAAAAAAAAAAAAAAAAAUUUUAAAGUGAUCCGGACGCCAAGUCCCAUUUGUGAACUGCAUUGGAAGUAGAGUUUGGAGUCCGCAGCUGUACGACAUUAUGCUCACAGCGUACUAAAAAAGCGAGCCAAAAAAGCAGAAGCGCACACAGACGGGCGCAGUGCAGCAGCAGACCAAUCCGAUUGUUUUCCCUUUCCUCAAAGCUUCCCGCACAAGCUUUCUCUCAGAAAACGACUCGUCUUCUUCCCAACUCAGUGCCCGGCGUGCUUCGAAUCGGUCGCUAUCCUUGCAAUUUUACACUCGCAAGGACUGAGUCAACUCGCUCCUCAUUCUCACAGUCCUAUGGUGAGCCCCGUCCUACUUAAUUUCGCUUCAUCUGCUGUUCAAGUUUGCUCCGAAUGUGAAAAUUUUGAACAAUUUCUAGUGUUUUGGUGCUUCUGCAUGUAAAUUCUCGGCUUUUACUGUGAUAUCAUUUGAAUUACUUAGCAGUUUUGCCUGAAAUGGUGCUUUUCUCUCACUAGAAAUGUAGUUUUAUGUAAUUGGGAUUGGAAAUUUGCUGUCUUUGGAGGAAAUGUAGUUUGAUAUAGUGUUAAUUUCGUUUUUGCUGUUUUCUUUUCAGUUUUCGAAAAUUUUGAAUUUUGAAUUGCAGGUUUGAGUAUUUGAAUCGGAGAAUUUUGUUUAUUUGUUUUGAAUUCUGGGUGCAUUUAUAUUUUAGUGGAUGAGAUUUUAUUUUUAUUACCUUUGAAAAUUAUAGAAGUUAACUUUGUUCAUUUACUUUGUUUUUUGUUUUUGUUUAUUUGGUUUUGAGGUUUCAGUUUGUGUAUUUGAGUUGCAUGUGGUGGAUUUUCCAUGGAAACAGUGGUCGGUGUUGAGGGGAAUGAUGAAGGGAUGUGUGAGGAGAGUGGGGUUGAGAAAAGUAGCUCUUCUUUGUCUUCGCCAAAGCAGAUUGCCGAUCCUGUUGUAUACAAGCUCGUUCGGGUAUGUUUCAUUUGCAUUAAAAGUUCAACUGUUCUGUUGGUGCUAGUAGUUUUGUGCACAUAAAAUUGGAGUGUAAGCCGCUUCUUUCUGUUCUCUUUGCCAGGUAUAAGUGUGUUAACAUUCCUUAUGAUUGGUUUAACUUUCAAAUUUGUACAGAAACAUGAUAACUUGAUAGGCUUGGGUAAUGGGCGUUCAUGAUACUGCUUUAGAGCCUAUAAAGGACUGUAUAUCGAUCAAGAGAUUUUAACAGUUAUUUUAUUCAUAAAUUACAAUUAGAAGCAGUCAAGCCAUCAAUUAAUGAGUACAAUUAGAAGCAGCCAGGCUGCUGCCUGCCUUCUGGGCGAAUCAGAGUUUAGAAAAUAAUAGUAGAUACGAAUUGAAGCUUGAGCUUUACAAUUUGAUAUGUUCUUUCUCUAAAGCUUUGAUUUUGGGGAUUUAGUUUGUCACCAAUUCUAAAUUCAAGGUUUAUACUUGGAUUAAAUGAGAGGCCAUUUUUUGGUUUGGCGACAGGUUUUCCAUAAUUCUUUAAGGGGGAAACUUAAAAUUGCACUGCAGUUACAACUAUGGACUUGUUACUUCAUGUUCGAAAAUUUCAUUGCCAUUUAUUUUGUUUUCUUUAGAUUCAUAACGUCUUAUUUGAUUCCAGGUUGAAGGUGAUGGGAGAUUAGUGCCAGCAACAGAUGAUGAAGUAAUGGAAGUUGAGGAUUUUCUUGUUGAUGAGAUGGUUGAAUUACCUGUUAUUACAGAGGCUGGAAAUGGUUGGUGCAUUUCCAAUGAAGAGUCUUCCUCUGGGAAACCUCAGAAAGAAAGCUCAGAAGGUCUAUUUGAUUUAUUGUUGUGACUAAUUAUUUAAUUUCCAUCUGUAUCAUUAUGGAUUAUUUUACGUAGUAACUUUAAGGGCAUGCAAUUUGGAACCUUAAGCUAUAACUUCUGUAUAUAAUGACUAUUGGAGUCUGAUUUUUAUCUAUUCAUAUUUUUGUGUUGAAUCAGUUACAUGCGCAUCUCAAAUCUCAAUUCUCAAAAUUAGUUUGACAAAUCUUAUUCCAACUUACUUUUUCUCCUCAAUGGCUUUGGAGUUCAUUUAUAUUCAACACCAAAGUGACUACUUUUUGGGUACUUUCAUUUAUAUUCAAGAUAUGUUUUGCAUACCUAUUGUUUCCCUGACUUAGUGAAGUAUUGUUUCAAUGAAAAAUGACUUUGUGAGAAACUAGUUGUAGAACUUGGUUUGUUAAAUUAUUUGAAGACAUUCUAUUUUUAUAUCUUAUGGUGUUGGUUCUGUAAUGGUUUUCAUCUCUCACAGAGCAAUACAUUUCCAGGUGUCUCACAUUCAGAGAACACAGAAGCUGAUGUGAAAUUAUGUGCACGGCUUGAGGUAUUGACUUGCUUUCUCUGGAUAAAAUUUCCUCCUGUUGUAGAAUCAGAUGGAUGAGUACUAUCUUGCAUAAACUUAUGGCCUGCUAUGACUGUUCUGAAUAGCAUAUUUCUUUUGGAUAACUUUAUCUUUAUGUCUCUUUAAUAAAUUGAUUCAAGUGCUUGGAUAUGUUUACAGAUACCCCUUGUACAGCAGUUAUAUUUCCUAGCUGCUAUAUGCAUUUUAAUCCUGUAGAAAGGAAUUUCUUGAUUUUGAAAUUUAUCAUCUGUAUUAUGUGUUAGUGGCGUAUUUCUUUAUCAACUGGUUUGAUUGUUCAUUUCUUAAACUUAUAGAUAGUUUAUUUCAAUUCUUCUUUUUCUUGCAUCUCUACAAGUAUGUGUACAAUUUUAGCAUAUCUAGUUAUUAAUCGUCUUGGAUCCUUCUCGGCCUCUAAAAUCUCUUGUAGUACAUCGAGGAGAUGUUGCAAAAGGUCAAACAGGAGGAGAGGCUCCGCUUAGCAUGUGGAACUCCUGAUCCUUCUUCUGCUUUUAUGAAUGUAGACAUCCAGUGUUCUGAUCAGCAUGAUAAAUUACCUGCUAUUGAUGAGAAGCUGCAAUCUGAAAUUCCUUUGCAGGAUAUUGUUCCUUCUUCAUCACUGAGUCCAGAUGGAAGCCAUAUUAAUGAAUCUGGGAGAAUUGGGGAGUGCUCAAAACAACCGCUGGAUGGACCAAUAGAAAGUGGGUCAUCAGCUUCUGUCAUCUGCACUAGUCCAAAGCCUGAUGUUAAUACACUAAAGGGGGAGAUAUGCUUGGACAACCUAUCAAUUAGAGAACUUCAUGAAUUAUUUCGGGCAACUUUUGGGAGAGAAAGUACUGUUAAGGACAAGUUGUGGCUUAAGAGGAGGAUCACAAUGGGGUUGACUAACUCUUGUGAUGUUUCAACAACUUUCACUAUUGUAGAUAACAAAUUGGUGAACAAGGGUAAAGAUGAUAGCAUUCAGAAUGCAGAUGGUAUGCUCACUGAGGGGUCAGAUGGUGAAGCAAAGAAUCUUGGGUAUGAAACUUCACCAACUAGCCACAGUAGCCAAAUGGAAAAUCAUGUCACUGUUUCGGGCAAGAGAUUGGUAAACAUUAGUGCAGAACUGGAUUGUGGAAGUGAGGACCUUCACACAGAUCAGAGAGCUGCCAAACGAGUUCGAAAGCCCACUAAGAGAUAUAUUGAAGAGCUUUCUGAAGUUGAAUCAAAAGAUUGUAGCCCAAAAGUGAUUAGUCCAGUUAAAAGUGCGGGACAACGACAAACAUCUCCAAAAUCUUGUUGGCCUCUUGGAAAUGUCCCUUUAAAUGAGAGAGCUAUUGUCACCAGGUCGGACCCUCUAGGAAAUGUGACAAAUGUCCCUUCAAAUGAGAGAACGUUUGUCACUAGGUUGGAUUCUCUUGGCGGAUCUGGGGUUCAGGUUCCUUAUGUUUCUCGAGUUCGUAGAAGCCGUCCAAGGAAAAAUAUUAUGGCCCUUAUGGUAGGUAAAACCCUUAUAUAAUAUGGCAAUACGAGUUGCUUUAUCAUUUCUUUUGUUUUUCUUCUUAAGCAUAGGAAUUACGAUUAUGAUAUAGCACUAUAAGUCAUCUGUACGACACAAUACCUGAAUGCGUUUGAUUUUUUAUUUGUAGAAGUUUGAUAUGAGUGGAAUGGGUGUGACAGCUAAACUUGUAAAAGAGGCCUUUAGUAUGCGUAGUUCUGUAUCAGAGAGUGAGCAUGCAGACAAAGUCUUGAAAAUCAGAUCUGCUUCUGAACGGAUGAAGCCACGGGUAAGAUCAAGUUUGCUUAACUGGAUUCCAUUAUUCUUACUUCACAUUGAGUUAUGGGCAUGUGUGUUUGAAUCUGAUAAUGUGUCGAUAACGUUAGUGUAGCCGGUUAUUAGUUUUGGACUGGCAUUUUGUAUUAUUGAGGACUAACGGGGGUAAUGACAUUUUUUUUUUAAUAUCAUGGUUUGCCUUUUGUUUGAGUGCUAUACUGAAUUACCUUUCAAUUGGUUGCAUGCUAAUUUUUUUGUUAUGUUAAUUGGUUGCCUAUGUAGUGUACUGCUGAACCAGAGAAAGACAAGCGUCGCUCAGUAAUGGGCACAAUUGAACUGCGAAAGAACUUGGGCAUUAAACAGACAGAUUCAUCCGAGGACAAUUCAGAUGAUGGUACAGCCCAGAUUCCCACAGCGAAAGGUGGAAUGAGAAGGAAACACCAUCGAGCUUGGACUCUUGUUGAGGUUAUAAAAUUAGUUGAGGGUGUCUCUAAGUGUGGCACUGGGAGGUGGUCUGAGAUCAAAAGGCUUUCCUUUGCAUCGUAUUCAUAUCGCACUUCUGUUGAUCUCAAGGUAUGAUUUUGCUGUACAAUUUGUAUUCAAGAUACCAAGUUCAUUUGGCAUCCAAUUAUACUAAAAAAAUGGUGAAUACUUUUCACUGAGAAAACAUGUGUCAUUUUGCAGGACAAGUGGAGAAACCUGCUCAAGGCUAGCUUUGCGCAAACGCCUCCUGAUGAUGGAGUGAGUACAUUCCCCUUACCUCUCUUUUAUGAGUUGGUUAGACGGGAAGUGUGGAACUUCCCAUCUCUUUCAAAUGCAAGCUUUCUUUGAACUCUUUGCUCAGCCUUUAAAUACUAAUUUUGCAUUCAACUAUUAUCUUCCAGAGAUUCCAAUAUUCUGUAAAUAAAAUUUUCGAACUUUGAUCACGUCUCCAUAGUAUUUUACAACUUGAACUGGCAUAUUUGAAUAUUUAUUAUCUACUGCAAAAUCUACUGCCCUAUGGUGGUUCACUUCAUCGUAACUUGCAAACAGAUGUUUGGCGUCUGUACUAGGAAUCAAAUAUGCCUAUGUAUAUAGUACACUAUACGCCAUUGAUUCUCUCUCCGGAUGUUCUUUUGAGUACCGACUUAACUUGGUUUGUCUGUGGGGAAUUGUGCAGAUAAACUCCCGGAAACAUGCUUCAGUACCCAUCCCGGCAUCAAUUUUGUUAAAAGUAAGAGAGCUUGCUGAGAUGCAGGUGCAGGUACCGCCAAAUCUAGGGCCCAGCAAGCUGGGCACUGGUAGCAGUCGAAGCGUGCAAAUGCGACCAGGCUUCUUGUAACAUUGUAUAUAAGGAUACUGCUGGACUGUAACCGUUUUCCUCUGCUGACAUUCACUUGUUACCAUGGCUGAAGUGCUGCAGAGGGAUUGCUGAGAUGUAGGCUUAAAUAUGUUUACGAUACAUUCUGACUCCUAAGUUCCUAACACAAUUUCUUACUCAGUUAUUAAUUUAUUAUGAUAGGGUUUAUGCCUGAUGUUAAAAAGUGAUCAAUUUUUGCACGGCAAGUUGACCGGCGGACACUUGCCGGUUGAUCAGUCGAAUGUCAAACAUGUUUAAAGUGACUAAUUACCCUUUUUUUUGUUUGUUACGGUCGAUAAUUAUCUUGGUUGAUAAAUAGGUCGCGAGUAAAUAAUAAAACUUUAAGGUAAUAACCGAAGUCUAACGCUACCUUUUGAACCAAAGAAGGCUAAAGCUAUCUGAUUUGGGAUUUGGGAUUUUGGUGAAGAAAAUCUUGAAUUAGGACCUAAAUAAUGAACUAUUCUACUCGUGGAAUUAAAUUUGUGGAGUGAGCCAAAGAGACUAACCAUGUUAAGUUACCGGAAUCCGGAUCCUCUUUGUGAGGAUUUCGGGAAUUUGUGAAUUGUGUCAAUUCAUCGUACAUAGUGCAGUAAAAAAUCAUAUUAAAUAUUUUUAUUUAAAAUUAAACAUAAACAGUACCUGACAAUAAUUGACCGCACGAUGUACGAUAACGAACACGAUUCACGAGUCCUUCGGAUCCUCACCAAAAGGAUCCCGUUGGAAGUUACUAACUACUAAUUAUUAGAGCUUGAGCGCUAUUGAUAUGUUGUAGCAAAGUGAAUGAAAUUUGGGCAAUUUAGUUGUAGAAAUGAUCAGGUUUCAUUAUAUCAUCUUUGUAUGGUCUUUAUGCAUCGUCGCAUUGUCGACAUUUAAUUAAUAUGUCAUCGUUAUUAGAAAUGAUCAUUUCUGUGACUAAAUGUUCAAAAUUUUGAUGAAACUUGGAUGAAAGUGUAGGAUCACAUUGAAGGAUUUGAAACUUAAGGAACGAAAUUUAUGAGUUAUCCAAAUGGCACAAAACUUUUGUUGUAAAAACACAUUAGGAUUAUAUGAAAGAUACGAAGUUCGGUUCUCUCCCCGAUGAGGAGGACCGGAAGUUUGAUGAGAUGGUACCCAAGAAAGAGGCCCAAGACGCCACGAUCCUUACAUUUAAAAGCCCAUACUCUCUCUCUUCUCAGCCCUAACUCUCUCACUCCUCUCUCUCUCUCUCUCUGUGAUACUUCCAGCUCCAGAUACAUCAUCAUCGCCAACCGAGUCACGGUGAGUCCUCCACCGCAGCUCUUCCACUCCCUCCAAUUCGCAAAUUACCAUUUCUUCGUUCAAGAAUUCAACCUCCCUGACAGCAAUUCAACAUGUUCUCUCUCACUGUAAUUCACUCUGUUUGGUGUCCGAGACAUCGCUGUUGAAACGACGAUUUCUCGGCAACCAAACAGACCUUUCGAUUUCUUUUCAAUAACCCAAUUAGUAGUUUUUUAUAUCUCAACUGUUCCUGCUGUUGCUUUUUUAGUUGUAGGAGCUGAAACAAUCCAGUAGCAAUGGGGAUCAUCGAAAGGAUCAAGGAAAUUGAGGCCGAAAUGGCUCGGACUCAGAAAUAAAGCCACAGGUAAUUUCUCUUUUUACUUGAUUUCCCUAUAUUUAUUGGGUAUUUAAAUAUAAUAUGGUCUUUUAUGAAUUGGGUUAUAUCUUAAUUUUUUGUUUAUUUAAUUGGAAUGCUGAAAAAAUGCAGAGUAUCAUCUUGGCCAGCUCAAGGCAAAGAUUGCCAAGCUCAGGACUCAGCUUUUGGAGCCUCCAAAAGUAUGCAACUUUUCCAUACACACACACACACACACACACACACACACACACCACACACACACACACCCACACACACCCACACACACCCACAUGAGUUUAAUUUGAUAUGAAUGUAGAAUUUUCCUGUAUUAACGUUAGGAACUUUGAUGGCCAUG
rnacentral:lncRNA from 1 species